UUGAACCUGAGAGUUUGAUCCUGGCUCAGAACGAACGCUGGCGGCAUG
rnacentral:rRNA from 1 species